rnacentral:rRNA from 1 species
UGAACGCUGGCGGCGUGCCUAAUACAUGCAAGUCGAGCGAACAGACGAGGAGCUUGCUCCUCUGACGUUAGCGGCGGACGGGUGAGUAACACGUGGAUAACCUACCUAUAAGACUGGGAUAACUUCGGGAAACCGGAGCUAAUACCGGAUAAUAUAUUGAACCGCAUGGUUCAAUAGUGAAAGACGGUUUUGCUGUCACUUAUAGAUGGAUCCGCGACGCAUUAGCUAGUUGGUAAGGUAACGGCUUACCAAGGCGACGAUGCGUAGCCGACCUGAGAGGGUGAUCAGCCACACUGGAACUGAGACACGGUCCAGACUCCUACGGGAGGCAGCAGUAGGGAAUCUUCCGCAAUGGGCGAAAGCCUGACGGAGCAACGCCGCGUGAGUGAUGAAGGUCUUCGGAUCGUAAAACUCUGUUAUUAGGGAAGAACAAAUGUGUAAGUAACUAUGCACGUCUUGACGGUACCUAAUCAGAAAGCCACGGCUAACUACGUG